CACGUAGGGGACGAGCGUUGUCCGGAAUCAUUGGGCGUAAAGCGCGCGUAGGCGGCCCGGAAAGUCGGAUGUGAAAUCCCGAGGCUCAACCUCGGGUCUGCAGUCGAUACGAGCAACUAGAGUGUUGCAGGGGAGGACUGGAAUUCCUGGUGUAGCGGUGAAAUGCGCAGAUAUCAGGAGGAACACCGGUGGCGAAAGCGGCUUCCUGGUCCAGCACCGACGUCAGGCACGAAAGCGUGGGGGAGCAAACAGG
rnacentral:rRNA from 1 species